GAUGAACGCUGGCGGCGUGCCUAAUACAUGCAAGUCGAGCGAACGGACGAGAAGCUUGCUUCUCGGAUGGAAGCGGCGGACGGGUGAGUAACACGUGGAUAAGCUACCUAUAAGACUGGGAUAACUUCGGGAAACCGGAGCGAAGACCGGGUAAUAUUUUGAACCGCAUGGUUCAAAAGUGAAAGACGGUCUUGCUGUCACUUAUGGAUGGAUCCGCGCUGCAUUAGCUAGUUGGUAAGGUAACGGCUUACCAAGGCAACGAUGCAUAGCCGACAUGAGAGGGUGAUCGGCCACACUGGAACUGAGACACGGUCCAGACUCCUACGGGAGGCAGCAGUAGGGAAUCUUACGCAAUGGGCGAAAGCCGGACGGAGCAACGCCGCGUGAGUGAUGAAGGUCUUCGGAUCGUAAAACUCUGUUAUUAGGGAAGAACAUAUGUGUAAGUAACUGUGCACAUCUUGACGGUACCUAAUCAGAAAGCCACGGCUAACUACGUG
rnacentral:rRNA from 1 species